UACGUAGGUCCCGAGCGUUGUCCGGAUUUAUUGGGCGUAAAGCGAGCGCAGGCGGUUUAAUAAGUCUGAAGUUAAAGGCAGUGGCUUAACCAUUGUUCGCUUUGGAAACUGUUAAACUUGAGUGCAGAAGGGGAGAGUGGAAUUCCAUGUGUAGCGGUGAAAUGCGUAGAUAUAUGGAGGAACACCGGUGGCGAAAGCGGCUCUCUGGUCUGUAACUGACGCUGAGGCUCGAAAGCGUGGGGAGCAAACAGG
rnacentral:rRNA from 2 species